rnacentral:tRNA from 1 species
CUGGCUGUGGGGGAGUGUGGCCACCCCGCCGGCUUCGGGCGCCGGAGAUCGCAGGUUCGACUCCUGCCGGCCAGA